GACGAACGCUGGCGGCGUGCUUAACACAUGCAAGUCGAACGGAAAGGCCCCUUUGGGGGUACUCGAGUGGCGAACGGGUGAGUAACACGUGAGUAACCUGCCCUUGACUUCGGGAUAACUUCAGGAAACUGGGGCUAAUACCGGAUAGGAAUCCUUGCUGCAUGGUGGGGGUUGGAAAGCUUCGGCGGUUUUGGAUGGACUCGCGGCUUAUCAGCAUGUUGGUGGGGUAGUGGCUUACCAAGGCUUUGACGGGUAGCCGGCCUGAGAGGGCGACCGGCCACAUUGGGACUGAGAUACGGCCCAGACUCCUACGGGAGGCAGCAGUGGGGAAUAUUGCACAAUGGGCGGAAGCCUGAUGCAGCAACGCCGCGUGCGGGAUGACGGCCUUCGGGUUGUAAACCGCUUUCAGCAGGGGCGAAGCUUGUGGUGACGGUACCUGCAGAAGAAGCACCGGCUAACUACGU
rnacentral:rRNA from 1 species